CACAUACUUCCUCCGUUCGGAAAUACUUGUCAUCAUAAUGGAUAAAAAAAGAUGUAUCUAGAUGUAUUUUAAUUCUAGAUACAUAUUUUUUUAUCCAUUUUGAUGACAAGUAUUUUCGGACGGAGGGAGUAGCAG
rfam:Triticum urartu cultivar G1812 contig38534, whole genome shotgun sequence.